GAUGAAGAACGUAGCGAAAUGCGAUAAGUAGUGUGAAUUGCAGAAUUCAGUGAAUCAUCGAAUCUUUGAACGCACAUUGCGCCCCUUGGUACUCCAUGGGACAUGCCUGUUCGAGCGUCAUUUACACCCUCAAGCUCAGCUUGGUGUUGGGCGUCUGUCCCGCUUCGUGCGCGGACUCGCCUCAAAUGCAUUGGCAGCGGUCUUGCCAGCUUCUCGCGCAGCACAUUGCGCUUCUAGAGGCUUUGGCGGAUCGGCGUCCAUCAAGUACACCCACAGUUUGACCUCGGAUCAGGUAGGGAUACCCGCUGAACUUAAGCAUAUCAAUAAGCGGAGGA
rnacentral:misc_RNA from 1 species